ensembl:lncRNA
UUAACAACAAUAUUUUGUGUAUUCCCUGUAAAGUUAUUUAAUUUUUAAAGACCUAAAGUCCUGUACAGAUAUAUUAUAUAUAAUAUAAAUACUCUAUUACAGUUUAGUUUAUUAUUAUUUGUUUUAACGACGGGACGUGAGGGCGCAUUUCCGGCCUUCCCCCCUCCGACCACCGGGGGCAGCAGCGUCCGGCAGCCCGUCCACUGAAACCGGAAGCCAUUUUGUUUAUGAGCCGCUCCGUCCGGUCGGUCAGGGCGCCUCGGUUUCGUGUGCUCCGGACACAUUUCCGUUAAAAACCUUCCUCUGCCGUCGGCCCCGGUGGAGACUGCCCGGCUCUCGGCCGGUGUUAGCCGUUAGCUUUAGCCCGCCGCCCCAGCAGCCAUGAAGGCCGACGGACUCUUUCUUUCUGCGUGUCUUCGCUGCUGACUCGAUCCGGAGACUCUCCGCUCAUCAUGGCGAGCGAAAACAGCGACCCCAACGCGGGGAAGGCCGCCGACAGCGGCCACCCGUCCGACGCCAACGACCACGACUACGCGCACGCCGCGGACGCGGCUUCCUUCUCCGGCUGCACGGCGGCGGCCGACAGCGGGAUCUCCGCCGAGGGAGGCUUCGCUGCGCCGGCCGAACACGAGCGCUGCACGCCGGAGCAGCCCAGCGCCUCUUUACCGGUGGAGCUGCCGGGACCGGCGGUGGGCGCGGAGGUGGACUGCCCCGGUGGACCUUACGAGGGGGCUUCCCCUCCGCCGCAGCAGACCGACGAGGACCCCCCGAAGGCGGCGGCGGUGGUGGUGGUGGAAGCCGGCACCGCGCUGCCCUGCCGGAGCGGCGGCCGCCGGCGUCCCAAGCGGCCGGAGGACAAGAACUGCUGCUGCUGCAAGGCCGAGUUUGAGCGGCAGGGCCGGAGCUUCAACCGGAGGGCCGUGUACACCUUCACCAGCCCGGACACCGUGCACUGGGCCUUCCCGGACUCGGUGGUCCACGACAAGUCCUUCCUGUGCGAGACCUGCGCACAGGUGAUCCGGAGCAAAGGCAAGAGGAAACAGACCGGGAGACGGUCUCUGUGGCUGAAACCACCUGACACCAAACAGUCAGACAGGAAGGACAAGAAGAAGAAAGGCCGCAGGAUGGGGAAGAAGAGCAAAGCAGCGCUGCUGGUUAGCAAGUCCUGCUACAAGGCAGCUUUCAAAAUGCUGUGGUCCGCCAAAGGAGCCAGGAAACCCAUGAUGGAGUUCUGGAGCAAACAGCUGAAGGAGGAGAUGAAGUUGCUGUCACGGCACGCAGAGAGUCCCUUCCACCAGAAAGUGUCAAGCAGGAAGCCGCUGACAUCUUUCCCUUGGCGUCGAUGUCUGAACUGGGCUCAGGACAAAGCUCCACUCGUCACCGCCUGCCUCCGCUCACUGUUCCCAGACAUCAACGCUCUCUCCAAGAGCAGCCACCAGCUGUCGGAGGACCAAGCACAAACGCUGCUGGAGCGCCGGACUGUUGUGGCGCUCUCCGUCCCGCUUUUCACCAGGAACAUUUGGAAGAAUAACUUCAUGCAGGCUGCCCUGGGGGCUGAACUCCGCCAGCAGGGCUGCUCUGGCGCUGCCCUCGAUGCCCUCAACACCAUGGGACUGUGUCAAAACAAGGAUACCGUCAGGUUACUGCUGCACAGGCUCAGAAAUGGAAAGAAGUUGACAACACAGAACGGACGACAAAGAAUAAAAGUGAGACAAGGACACAUGAGAGGAGAACAGAUGACAGAUGUGGAGGAAGAAGACAUUGAGGAGGAAGAGGAGGAGGAAGAAGAAGAAGAGGAGGAGGAGGAGGAGGAGGAGGAGGAGGAAGAAGAUGAUGAUGAUGAUGAUGAUGUGGAAGUUGACUUGGAAGAGGAGGAGGCUGACGAGGAGGAGGAAAUAGAGAUGGGAGUGGAGGAGGAAGAAGUGGAAGAGGAAGAGGUGCAAGACGGAGUGCAGGAGGAGGACGAGGAGGAAGAAGAGGAUCGUGCAGCAGAGGAAAAGGAAGAGAAGAAGAGGAGGAAGAAGGCAAAGAAGCAGAGGAAGGAGGAGAAGAGGAAGGAGAGAGGAAAGCGAAAGGAGGAGGAAGAGGAUGACGAUGAGGAUGGAUCGGAGCAGAAGAAGAGGCGGGUGGUGGUGGUGAGGCUUGGCCUGCUGAAGGGACAUUCAGAGGUCGGGCGAUCUGACCUUUCAGCUCCCUGA